GGUGAGAAACCAAGGUCUCCUGGGGUCGUCCAUGGCGUGUCUGGGGAGGGAUGAGGGAGAAGAGAGAGGAAAGAUGCACAUCUUUGGCGUCAAUGGGAUUAAACCUCGCUCUGAUGCGGAAGGAAAUUUGCAGGGGAUAGGAGACACAACCUCACGUCAUGCGCAAGCACAGGCUGGAAACCUUGGAUAAUGAACUCUGCAGGGGGGUGUAAUCAGGUGAUAGGGGUGGCCAGGGGCUGGGAGCCAAGGGGUGGUGGUCACUGGCCGAAGGGAGCUGCAGCCCUCAGCAUCAUGUCACGUAUUUCUCUCUAUAUCCCUUACAGCUGGCAGGAGGGGAUGCAUGAGCUACAAAAAAUAGACACAGCGAGGAAAACAAAAUCCUCUUUUGGAUCUAAGCCUACAUAUGUGUUCACACAAUCUCCAGCCAGAAGCAGGAGCAGAAAUACCUCUUUCUUUGAGAGAAACUUUGACCCAGCAAUCACAUUGUGCUCUGCAGCAAGGCAGGGCCAGCUCUGGCUGGAGCAUUCCCGAUGGACAUGAGUUCAAGGAUAUCCCUCAUGUCUUUGACAUGAUGCAGCAGUCACAGCUGGAUGUCGUAUCUGUCUCAUUUGCAGGACAGACUCUUUAGAUUUUUGAUUGGCAAAAUCAACAGAUAACUCCCAGAAAUUUUUCAGCUUUGCUGUGCUGAGUCAAAAUUGUCCUGCAUCCCAAACAGCAUGAGCACUCUGCUUUGCUGAGGGACAGCUUCUCUGCACCAGAGCAACCCUGGACCAAGUCUGCAUUUGAUCCCAGUCCCGUCCAUCAGGCAGCAUUGCUGCUCCAGAGAAGACUCUGAGAGGUGGUGACUCAGAGGCGAUGGUCCUUGGAGAGACAGCAAUCCCCCCUUGGCUCUGCCCCAGGCUCGGUCAGGCGCAAGGUG